rnacentral:rRNA from 1 species
AGAGUUUGAUCCUGGCUCAGAACGAACGCUGGCGGCAGGCUUAACACAUGCAAGUCGAGCGCCCCGCGAGGGGAGCGGCAGACGGGUGAGUAACGCGUGGGAACAUACCCCUUGGUUCGGAAUAACUCAGGGAAACUUGAGCUAAUACCGGAUACGUCGGCAACGAGAAAGAUUGAUCGCCGAGGGAUUGGCCCGCGUCC